GCCAGUGAAAUUUGUAAUACGACUCACUAUUAGGGCGAAAUUUGGCCGACGUCGCAUGCUCCCGGGCCGCCAUGGCGGCCCGCGGGAAUUCGAUUAGAGUUUGAUCAUGGCUCAGAUUGAACGCUGGCGGUAGGCCUAACACAUGCAAGUCGAACGGUAACGGACCGCUGGGAUUCCUUCGGGAUGACCUUGGUGCCGACGAGUGGCGGACGGGUGAGUAACACGUAGGAAUCUGCCCAACAGAGGGGGACAACCCGGAGAAAUCCGGGCUAAUACCGCAUACGCCCUAUUGGGGAAAGCGGGGGAUCUUCGGACCUCGCGCUGUUGGAGGAGCCUGCGUCGGAUUAGCUUGUUGGUGAGGUAAUGGCUCACCAAGGCUACGAUCCGUAGCUGGUCUGAGAGGAUGAUCAGCCACACUGGGACUGAGACACGGCCCAGACUCCUACGGGAGGCAGCAGUGGGGAAUAUUGCACAAUGGGCGAAAGCCUGAUGCAGCCAUACCGCGUGUGUGAAGAAGGCCUUCGGGUUGUAAAGCACUUUCGUUAGGGAAGAAAGGUGCGAGGUUAAUAACCUCGUACUGUGACGGUACCUAAAUAAGAAGCACCGGCUAACUCCGUGCCAGCAGCCGCGGUAAUACGGAGGGUGCAAGCGUUAAUCGGAAUCACUGGGCGUAAAGCGCGCGUAGGCGGCUUGGUAAGUCAGAUGUGAAAGCCCCGGGCUCAACCUGGGAAUUGCAUUUGAUACUGCCAAACUAGAGUGUAGUAGAGGGAAGUGGAAUUCCGAGUGUAGCGGUGAAAUGCGUAGAUAUUCGGAGGAACACCAGUGGCGAAGGCGACUUCCUGGACUAACACUGACGCUGAGGUGCGAAAGCGUGGGUAGCAAACAGGAUUAGAUACCCUGGUAGUCCACGCCGUAAACGAUGUCUACUAGUCGUUGGGGGGCUUGUCCCUUUAGUGGCGCAGUUAACGCGUUAAGUAGAC
rnacentral:rRNA from 1 species